UACGAAGGGGGCUAGCGUUGCUCGGAAUCACUGGGCGUAAAGCGCACGUAGGCGGAUUGUUAAGUCAGGGGUGAAAUCCUGGAGCUCAACUCCAGAACUGCCUUUGAUACUGGCGAGCUUGAGUUCGGGAGAGGUGAGUGGAACUGCGAGUGUAGAGGUGAAAUUCGUAGAUAUUCGCAAGAACACCAGUGGCGAAGGCGGCUCACUGGCCCGAUACUGACGCUGAGACGCGAAAGCGUGGGGAGCAAACAGG
rnacentral:rRNA from 1 species